GUCCUCAUGGUGUAACGGUAGCACACUCGGCUCGUAUUCCAGAGACCCAUGUUCAAGUCCCGGAGAGGAUA
rnacentral:tRNA from 1 species